rnacentral:rRNA from 1 species
UACGGAGGGGGCUAGCGUUGUUCGGAAUUACUGGGCGUAAAGCGCGCGCAGGCGGCCCUUUAAGUCCGUCGGUCAAAUGCCGGGGCUCAACCCCGAUGCAUGCCGAGGAUACUGGAGGGCUGGAGACACGUAGAGGCAAGCGGAAUUCCGGGUGUAGCGGUGGAAUGCGUAGAGAUCCGGAAGAACACCGGAGGCGAAGGCGGCUUGCUGGGCGUGAUCUGACGCUGAGGCGCGAAAGCGUGGGGAGCGAACAGG